rnacentral:miRNA from 1 species
UCUUUCAAAACUGCAGGACGG